rnacentral:rRNA from 1 species
CCUACGGGAGGCAGCAGUGGGGAAUAUUGGGCAAUGGGCGCAAGCCUGACCCAGCAACGCCGCGUGAAGGAAGAAGGCUUUCGGGUUGUAAACUUCUUUUGUCAGGGACGAAGCAAGUGACGGUACUUGCCGUAUAAGUCACGGCUAACUACGGGCCAGCAGCCGCGGUAAUACGUAGGUGGCAAGCGUUAUCCGGAUUUACUGGGUGUAAAGGGCGUGUAGGCGGGACUGCAAGUCAGAUGUGAAAACCACGGGCUCAACCUGUGGCCUGCAGUUGAAACUGUAGUUCUUGAGUACUGGAGAGGCAGACGGAAUUCCUGGUGUAGCGGUGAAAUGCGUAGAUAUUAGGAGGAACACCAGUGGCGAAGGCGGUCUGCUGGACAGCGACUGACGCUGAGGCGCGAAAGCGUGGGGAGCAAACAGGAUUAGAUACCCUUGUAGUC